rnacentral:rRNA from 1 species
AUAACAGGUCUGUGAUGCCCUUAGAUGUCCAGGGCUGCACGCGCGCUACACUGGAGGAAUCAGCGUGCUGUAACCAUUGCCGAAAGGUAUUGGUAACCCCUUGAAAAUCCUCCGUGAUCGGGAUCGGGAAUUGCAAUUAUUUCCCUUGAACGAGGAAUUCCUAGUAAGUGUGAGUCAUCAGCUCACGUUGAUUACGUCCCUGCCCUUUGUACACACCGCCCGUCGCUGCCCGGGACUGAGCCGUUUCGAGAAAAGCGGGGACUGCUGUUUCGAGACCUUUCGGGGUGGAGAUUCUUUGGUGGAAACCGCCUUAAUCGCAGUGGCUUGAACCGGGCAAAAGUCGUAACAAGGUUUCCGUAGGUGAACCUGCGGAAGGAUCAUUAUCGAGCGAAUCCAAAACGAACGAAAAAGUCUCCCAACGUGCAUACCUUCCAUUUGCAUGUUGUUGUGAGCCACAUGGAAACUCGUACACACGUGGUGGCAGCCGUCUGCUGUGCUUUUUUUAGGCAGACAAUGGCUUACGAGUGGCCGUGUGCUUGUUGAACAACGGUGACCAAUUUGGCGUCUACGCCGUAUCUAGCUUCUGCCUGGACCGUCAGUUGCGAUGAAAGAUGCGGAGAAAGUUCCUUUGUUUUGGCUGCUAAUCAUCAUUGAUGAGCAGCAGCUUAAGGCAGAGUCGAGCAGACUUAAUGAGCCACGCUAGGUGGCCGCCAAAACCCAAAACACAACCGGUCUAUUUGACAUUGUUAUUUCAUUGUAUGUGUUGAAAAUGUACAAAUCUUGGCGGUGGAUCACUCGGUUCGUGGAUCGAUGAAGAACGCAG